rnacentral:lncRNA from 1 species
AUACUUUAAGUUCUAGGGUAUAUGUGCACAACGUGCAGGUUUGUUACAUAUGUAUACAUGUGCCAUGUUGGUGUGCUGCACCCAUUAACUGAUAUACCUAAUGUCAUUUACAUUAGGUAUAUCUCCUACCCUACAAAGGACAUGAACUCAUCCUUAAAAAGAGCAGCAAUAUUUUGAAAGGAACCUUUUUUUUUUUUUUCUGAGCAGUAGAUCUCAAUGGCGGUUUCUUCAAAGAAACCAUGCUGUAAACAGAUGUGCUGUCAUCCAGGCUUUGUUGGUCCAUAUAUAGGGCAGGCAGAGUAGAUUUAGCAUAAUUCUUAAGGGCUCUAGGAUUUUCAGAAUAGCAAAUAAGCAUUGUCUUCAACUUAAGUAAACAGCUA